GGUUUGCCUGGAGCAGGAUCAUCCCCCGGACAGCCCCGCAUCCCGGCGGCAGCACCGAGCCUCGGCGAUGCGGCUCCAAGCCUGACCCUGCUGAGAGCCCCUGAGACACUGAACUCUAUGAGCGGAGAUCACUUGACUGCACUCAGCACCUUUCAGGAUCAGGCUCUAGGAGAUGGUCAGAGGAGCGAAAGGAGCAUCACCAUUUUGAAACAAAACCAAGGGUACUGG